GUUGGAUGGUUCCAACUACGCUCUAUGGUCCCAGGUUGUCGAGAUAUACAUCUCCGGCAAAGACAAACUGGGUUUUAUCAACGGUGAUUUUCCUCAACCCUCUCUAACUGAUCCCUCUUUUCGAAAGUGGCGCACCAAAGAUGCCAUCGUCAAAGGUUGGCUGAUAAACUCCAUGGAUCCAACACUCAUUGGUAAUUUCAUUAGAUUUCCUACUGCCAAAUCAGUUUGGGAUGCCAUUGUUACUACAUUUUUUGAUGACAAUCCUUCGAUGACAAGUGUCUCGACUGAAACAAGGCAAUGACUCCCUUGAGAAAUACCACUCCGAACUGCAAGGACUUUGGCGAGAAAUUGACUUCUGUCGCCCCAAUCCAAUAAUAUGUGCUACUGACAUCAACAAAUAUAACUCUCUGGUCCAAGAAGAACGAGUAUACAAAUUAUUGGAUGGAGUUGAUGACUGACUGGAUAGUGUGAGAGGUGAUGUUCUCCAGAUGAAACUAUUUCCAACCAUUGAACAAGCAUAUGCACAGGUUCGCCAAAAAGCACUCCGACAGGCUGUCAUGACCACCGACCCUGCCACUAUUUCUGGUGCGGUUCUGGUCACAAAAAGGUUAUAGCUGGGUUCUGGUGUUCCUACCUUUACUGGCACAUCAUCUCAAGGAACAGGAAAAUUGACCGUUGGUUCCAAAAUUCGCAGCACUAUUGAAGGGGAAAAAUGUUCUUACUGUGGUAAUCAAAAGUACACCCGUGAUAAUUGCUUCAAACUCCAUGGAUACCCCGACUAGUGGCAUGAAUUGUAGGCUAAGAAGAAACGACCAGGUGCAGUUGUAAGCACAGGGAAGACAGCUGUGGUGACAAUUCACUCUCCACUAUCUUUAAUUCCCUAAGCUGAAUUGUCAACAGAUGGAGGUCCUAACUCUGACUUAGGUACAUUUGGCUCUUCAUUUAUUUCCUCUUUUCAGGAAGAUAAU
rnacentral:lncRNA from 1 species